AGAAUAACCACUGGGGCCUUCUGUCUGGGAAUCUGGUCCUCUUGCUCUGGGGUGGCUGUUCUGUCUCCCUAGUAAAGCAUACUGGCAUCAUCGAGCCCCUUGGAUGGCCUGACUUCAGCGUCUUGAUGACUGCCUCUCAUUCCCAGAUCUUCUGCUGAUGCCUGAAACCCAUAAACUGGCCACACACAUCUGUGUUCUAAGAUUCGAGAUUGAACAUGGAAGGCAGGUUUUUCUGGAUCCUUCAUAUUGUGUGCCUGGAUGCUAUAACCAGAUUUCAUCUGUGAGGAGGCAUGGUUAGCCUGGAAUCUCCAUCUUCAACAGAGAUGCUCCAGGUGGAGAAGGAGGAUGGGAUGUCUCCACGUGUCCCCCAAGACAAGAGAAAAGAACCCGGCAGCCUACCUGCACUUGACGCUUGAGCCGUUGAAGCUGUGGACCUGCUCUGGAAGUUCCCCUAGAACAGAGCAUGGAGGAGGGGAAUGGGAGAACAUGGCAGAAGACCUUGGAUGAGAAAAGGCAUUGCUACCUGCUGACUCCAGCUCUCAAGGAGGGAGAUGGGACCAGGAGAGAGAUGGAGGGUGGAAAGGGGAGUGAAAGGACAACCAGGUGCUUUCUCUCUCUGACCACAGUUCAGGCCUUAGCUGGAAGAAGGGGAAUGACUUUCCACUGCACAUGAGAUGGGACUUUGUUUUAUACGGG
rnacentral:lncRNA from 1 species